CAGUGUGCCUUGAGCAUGUCAGUUGAGAAACCAUCACCCACUUUUGGGACAGAGGCUCAAAGGUUGGUUGUUCCUGGCUUUCCUCUGAUCAGCUUUGGAGAGUUUGUGGAAGAUUUGAAACAUCUUGAUUUGAAGAAGUUGGAAGGUGUCAGAUCAGAGAGCUGGAAAGUGAAUGAGCAGUUCUUCAGAAUAUCUCUCGUGGCAUCAAAAGGCAACUGCUGGGUGAACAGCUUAUUACUCAGACUGACAGAGUUUGAUCUUUGACUGAAGGGAAAAGAAGUUUGGCAGAUUUCUAUAAACAUUAAGUUCAUAAAUUUUCUGGAAAUACAUUUAAAACACGGAAUAUGUAAAUAAUGAGAAUUGGAAGCUGCCAUUUACUGCUAGGUUACUCGCUCCUUUUCUAGUUAAAAGUGGUGAAGGAGGAUAGAGCAGUAAAAUGGAAAGAAAAAAGAAGUUGGUUUAAUAAAAAUAUACCAUUUUAAGGUAUUGAAUGGGCAGAAUGUCUUUUUAGUUCUAGAAUCAAUCAAAGGUUUUAAAUUAGGUGUGAACAAUUCCUGGCCACUUCCAUUAAACUGAUCAAUUAGUCAAACGUGUAAAAGUAGAGGUAAGAAUGAAGGAAGUCAGAUGAGACCACAUAGGAAAUUGCUUGUGAGGUAAAGAUGCCCUUUGUGGUCCUGCCCUUUGGAGCUUGCAUAAAAUAGCAAGCCAGCAUUCCAGUAGCAUACAAGCCUAGUGCUGAAAUAGUUCUAGUUAAGCCCCUGAGGGUGUGUGUGUGUGUGUGUGUGUGUGUGUGUGUGUGUGUGUGUGUGUGUGUGUGGUGCAGGGUGGGGGAUAAAAAGAAGGUGCUUUUCUCCUUAGAUGUCCAAAUGAAUGGAAAUGCACUUACUGUCUGUUUUGAGCAAAUGGAAGCUGGAAAUGUCAGAGAUACAAUCUUUAUGUAACACAAAAGGAGGAUUACAGGUCUCUGACAUAAGAGGAGAGGGAUUACUGUCCAGUUGACGUAGGAAAGGGAGGCUUAUGGUGCAUCUGACAGAGCAAUAAUUGUACAGAAUUAUUUGUAGGGUUAGAAUAAAUGAAUGAACUGAGUGGGUGGUUCUCAGAGAAAAUCAUGUGUUACAACAGUUCUCUUUUAUAGAAACUUGGCACAGGGUAGGAAAACAGGGCUUUAUUUACUCUAAGAAAAGACACCUGAAUUCUUAGGUGGUUAAUUCAUUAAGCUCUUUUACUUAGUGACUCAACAGUGUGUGGACGCAGGGUUUUUCCCACAGAUAAAAUAUUGUGCAGGCAUCUCUCUACAAGCUUGGAAUGAGAAACUUUAACAUCUGAAAAGCCCCAAUAACCCCAUCUGUCAAAAUAGUUAUUCUAUUCCCGAACAAAACAAUUGAUACAGAAUAGAGGAAUGGUUUGAUUUUUGUUUUCCAAUGAAUAAAGCCAAGAAAGGGUCAUGAUGUGGCUACUCUUACCUCUUCAUUUAAUAUCUGUAAAGUAAAUCAUUGUUGUCAGACCAGUCAAAAGAGCACUAAAUUCAUACUGGGACCUGAAUUUGAAUUACAGCUCUGACAUUCUCUCUGGGAUUGUGAGAAAGUCCCUUACCUUCAGAGCACAUUUUCUCACUUGUAAAAUGGGGGAAAGAAUGGUUUUUAUUUCCUUAUCUUAUAGAAUCCUUGUGAGGAAAAUGCCUUGUAA